AGCUCAGUGGUAGAGCAUGUGCCCACCAUGCACAAGGUCCUAGGUUCAAUCUCUAG
rnacentral:tRNA from 1 species